rnacentral:rRNA from 1 species
GAGUUUGAUCGUGGCUCAGAUUGAACGCCGGCGGCAUGCCUUACACAUGCAAGUCGAACGGCAGCAUGAUCUAGCUUGCUAGAUUGAUGGCGAGUGGCGAACGGGUGAGUAAUACAUCGGAACGUGCCCUGUAGUGGGGGAUAACUAGUCGAAAGAUUAGCUAAUACCGCAUACGACCUGAGGGUGAAAGUGGGGGACCGCAAGGCCUCAUGCUAUAGGAGCGGCCGAUGUCUGAUUAGCUAGUUGGUGGGGUAAAGGCCCACCAAGGCGACGAUCAGUAGCUGGUCUGAGAGGACGAUCAGCCACACUGGGACUGAGACACGGCCCAGACUCCUACGGGAGGCAGCAGUGGGAAUUUUGGACAAUGGGCGAAAGCCUGAUCCAGCAAUGCCGCGUGUGUGAAGAAGG